rnacentral:rRNA from 1 species
GUAGGUCUGUCCUGCCCAGUGAUAAUAAUUCAACGGCCGCGGUACCUUGACCGUGCAAAGGUAGCAUAAUCAUUUGCCUUUUAAUUAAAGGCUAGUAUGAAUGGAUCCACAAGAAUAAAACUGUCUCAUUUCUAAAAUAAAUAUAAACUGAUAUCUAAAUGAAGAAGUUUAGAUACUAAUAAAGGACAAGAAGACCCUAUAGAGCUUUAUUAUUAUUUAGACAUACUAAUAUAAUAAAUUGAUUGGGACAAUCUUAAGACAUAUAAACCUCUUAUAAUUUAAAUAUACUACACCCUGACUUGUAAAUGAAUAAGCUACCUUAGGGAUAACAGGCUAAUCUUACUAAAGAGAUCACAUUGACAGUAAGGAUUGGCACCUCGAUGUUGGCUUAGUGUAACUAUAGGGUGCAGCCGCCUUAUUAAGUUGGUUUGUUCAACCAUUAAAUCACUACAUGAG